GAGGAAAAGCCCACUGGAAGCCUCUGCGCAUGCAUGGAUUUUUAUUUAUUUAUUUAUUGCUAACCAACUCAUCCACCUGCGCAGUGCACACGGAGGAGAAGCCCCCUGAAACGCACGCCACCUAUCUUCACGGGAGGGGAUAAUUGAGGGGAGCCAAACUGAAACCAACUAUGUCCACGCUGAGUUUGUGUGUGUGUGUGUGUGUGUGUGUGUGUGUGUGUGUGUGUGUGGACCGGGAGAAACUUGAAGCGUCCACGCCAGCCGCAAUCAGUAAGGAUUCUUAUUUCAAAUAUUGUAUUUACAUUUGGUGUUUUUGGCAGAAAUGUGCGUGUACUUAGUCCGCGUCAUUGACCGCAAACCGUUGGAUAAUCGCCAGAAACUGCAGUUAUUCAAUCUAAAAUGACCCCCCCCCCCCCCUGUAAAAUGGAAUAGUAGCAAUUAGUGCGCUUAUUUAUUGAUUGAUUGACUUAAUAACUCGCAAAUUAUUUUGGUAAAAUAAAACAGUUUAACUCUUGAAUUUGUAUGUAUUUUUUUCCUGAUGGAAACAAUCGACGGUAACAAAUAAAAUGAUUUUGUCAGUCGAUCAAAUGUCAAUAUUUGUGGCAUUCGUUUUAAAAGGUGUGGAUAAGAUACGUUACAAUUAUGAUUUGUAAUUAUAUCAAUUUUAUUUGAGAGAGUACAACAUCCUGGCACUGCAUGCAAGGACACAUUUAUGUGUAAAUGUAAUACGGGGGAGAAUAAUUAGCAUUUUACUGAAUUGCACAUUUUUAGCGCCAGAUAAUAAUUAAUACAAAUCAAACUAAAAUCUAAAUUUAUGAUUUUGCACUAAAAUCACGAACUAUAUUCCAACAGUGACACACACAGCUAUUUUAGAUGGGCUCUGGCGCCACUUAAAAAAGUAGAAAAAAAAGAGGGUGGAAUAAAAAGCAUAAAGUGACAUAAAGUGUCCGCGGAGCUGCACGAGUCCCUGCAGGAAUAUUAUGCGAAUAUCAUCGACAUUUUCUAGGUUUAUUAGAGUGAUUCUCGCUUCUGGAGGCCACUUAAGAGGAUGAACCCCACAUUUAUUAAAGAAGUCAACCAUUUCACACAAGCACAUCUCUCUCUCUCUCUCUCUCUCUGUCUCUCUCUCGCUCUCACACGCUCGCGCGCACACACAUGCUCACACACAGAAACAGACAGAGCGAGAGCGAGAGAGAGAGAGAGAGAGAGAGAGAGCAAGCCCCGCCCACGCCGCGAGUCGAUUGGCUAUGUAAAUAAAGGGUUAUUUUGUGUCCCUUCCUUUUGCAGGUCGCUACUGGAUAGCUAAUUAAAUCAUCAAUCAGUCCCCCUCCUCGUUUUUAAAUCCACAAAAAAACUUAGAUGCAGGCUGACUGUUACACUUACAGAAAGAAAAAUGUACAAGGUUUGAUCGAACAAUUCUUCUUCUUAUUAUUAUUAUUAUUAUUAUGAUUAUUUCUUUAGCGCGGCGAGUGACGUUUUACCGGAGAGACUCAGAUUUUUAGUGUGUCUGCAGGCAGAAGACCAAGAAUAUCCCAAAUUCUCUGUAUGUCAAAGGCAGCCACAAAUUUAGGUCCAAUUUCAGAGAAGCUGUGUUGAUCAAAUUGAACUUGCAGCACAAGAUGACAGCAAGGAAGCAACACAUACAUUUAAAGGAAAGCAUGAGUGAAGGUUUGGCCUGUGACAUGACGAUUAACCUCCACAGCUCCGGAAGGCCAGCUUUGCAACAUCAAACUGAGCAUCUCUCGACGGGCUUCGGCUCUGUUAGCCGCCAACGCCACGCCGCAGAGAUUGACGGACAAUUAAAGAGCAGAAGGCGACUGCCGGGGCGUGUGAUGUGUAAGGGAUCCUCCAACACGUAAAAUAAAGAGUUUACAUUGGUUUCUGAUCUCCCUUGCUCGGAUAAGAAGGAGAAGAAGCUUGCCGAGGCACAAACAAAUAUUUGCACUGAGAGCUAUUGAUUUUGCAUCUUCUCAGCUAUUCACUUACUCACAGUGUGCUGCCACCACCAGACACACACACACACACACACACUGAUACAAACAGCUGCAUGUGAAAUGAAGCCGCUGAUGCUGGAUUGAGUAAAUAAAGAAUUUAAGAAAACUGUACAUUCUGCAGACCUUCAAUGAUAACUUCACUUUAUAAGG